GACGAACGCUGGCGGCGUGCUUAACACAUGCAAGUCGAGCGGAGCGGCGAACGGGUGAGUAACGCGUGAGUAACUGCCCCCCUCUCUGGGGUAACAGUUUGAAACGGCUGCUAAUAACGGAUAGUGGGGGAUGACUCGCGUCCUAUCAGCUUGUUGGUGGGGUAGUGGCCUACCAAGGCGACGCCGGGUAGCCGGCCUGGGAGGGCGACCGGCCACAUUAGGCUGUGGUACGGCCCAAACUGCUACGGGGGGCAGCAGUGGGGAAUAUUGCGCAACGGGGGAAACCCUGAUGCAGCAACGCCGCGGGCGGGAUGACGGCCUUCGGGUUGUAAACCGCUUUCAGCCAUGACGCGGUAGUGGCAGAAGAAGCACCGGCUAACUACGUGCCAGCAGCCGCGGUAAUAC
rnacentral:rRNA from 1 species